AUGGAGGACCACAUGCAGAGCUUCCUUCAGAGUGAAGCUGAUGGUCAUGACCUCACCCCGAAGAGCUCCAGGGCCACCUCUUCUCUGAGCCCCAGCUUCUGCUCCCCAGCCUCCUCUACUGACCCGGCUCACUGUGUGCCCGCAGCAGGUUGCCUUACCUCUCUGGGUCUUUUCUUCCAUUUGUCUUCCCAGUGGCUGGCAAGGACAUCUCCCAGGGUGGAGGAAGGGUGUCCCUGCUCCCCUCCCUCCGUCCCUUUGGCCUUCCUCGCAGGACAGAGCCGGCUUCUGGUGGCUGGGUGCCCCAGGAAUAUCUGCAGGAGCCCACGCUGCAGGCCACGUGGAUGCUGCGCCCCCGGCUUCCAGGCUGUGGACCCAGGCUGGGCUUGAAUCCAAGAGGCCCGACCCCUCCUGGGUGUUUGGCUGAAUCAAUGUUUAAUUAAAUAUUUAUUCAUUUCCAGU
rnacentral:lncRNA from 1 species